rnacentral:rRNA from 1 species
UCGACUUGGAGGUUGUUCCCUUGAGGAGUGGCUUCCGGAGCUAACGCGUUAAGUCGACCGCCUGGGGAGUACGGCCGCAAGGUUAAAACUCAAAUGAAUUGACGGGGGCCCGCACAAGCGGUGGAGCAUGUGGUUUAAUUCGAUGCAACGCGAAGAACCUUACCUACUCUUGACAUCCAGCGAACUUUCCAGAGAUGGAUUGGUGCCUUCGGGAACGCUGAGACAGGUGCUGCAUGGCUGUCGUCAGCUCGUGUUGUGAAAUGUUGGGUUAAGUCCCGCAACGAGCGCAACCCUUAUCCUUUGUUGCCAGCGAUUCGGUCGGGAACUCAAAGGAGACUGCCGGUGAUAAACCGGAGGAAGGUGGGGAUGACGUCAAGUCAUCAUGGCCCUUACGAGUAGGGCUACACACGUGCUACAAUGGCGCAUACAAAGAGAAGCGACCUCGCGAGAGCAAGCGGACCUCACAAAGUGCGUCGUAGUCCGGAUCGGAGUCUGCAACUCGACUCCGUGAAGUCGGAAUCGCUAGUAAUCGUGGAUCAGAAUGCCACGGUGAAUACGUUCCCGGGCCUUGCACUCCCCGCCCGUCA